rnacentral:rRNA from 1 species
GUAACAAGGUUUCCGUAGGUGAACCUGCGGAAGGAUCAUUACCUAGAGUUGCGGGCUUUGCCUGCCAUCUCUUACCCAUGUCUUUUGAGUACCUUCGUUUCCUCGGCGGGUUCGCCCGCCGGUUGGACAACACUUAAACCCUUUGUAAUUGAAAUCAGCGUCUGAAAAACUUUAAUAGUUACAACUUUCAACAACGGAUCUCUUGGUUCUGGCAUCGAUGAAGAACGCAGCGAAAUGCGAUAAGUAGUGUGAAUUGCAGAAUUCAGUGAAUCAUCGAAUCUUUGAACGCACAUUGCGCCCCUUGGUAUUCCAUGGGGCAUGCCUGUUCGAGCGUCAUUUGUACCUUCAAGCUCUGCUUGGUGUUGGGUGUUUGUCUCGCCUUUUGCGCGCAGACUCGCCUCAAAACGAUUGGCAGCCGGCGUAUUGAUUUCGGAGCGCAGUACAUCUCGCGCUUUGCACUCACAACGAGCGACGUCCAAAAAGUACAUUUUUACACUCUUGACCUCGGAUCAGGUAGGGAUACCCGCUGAACUUAAGCAUA